rnacentral:tRNA from 1 species
GGGGAUAUAGCUCAGUUGGUAGAGUACGUGCCUCGCACGCACAAGGCCCCGGGUCCAAUCCCCAGCACCUCCC